CUCUUCCCUUCUGUGGGACGUGUUUUGAGGACUUGUGUGUUGACUGCACCAUGCAGAGCAUAUAGCAUGGAGGCACCCCUACUGCCAUCGGGGGGCAGGUGGAGGGGGGACCGUCCUGCAGCUCCUCCCUGGGGCUACCCCUCUCUUCCCUCUGCACAGACCUGGCAGCCACCCAGACGUCCCGCCUGCUGCCUAGACUCUAAGAAGAUGCCCUAUCACUCCAAUUACCAUACACAGUACUGGCGGGGGAGAGGUCCUGCCUUGCCGCUGAAAACUGCACUGCUUCCUCCCUCCAGGGAUGAAAGGCCAAAAGAACGAGGGCAGUGUGGAGUCUACGCUCUCGCCAGGGACCUGCAGCCUCUCACUUCCAAGCACACCAACUCCAGCUAACAGGACUGGGCUUCCUUACCUGCCGCCUUCCGCUGCCUCCCCGCAGACACAGCUUCAGCGACGCCCAGGCUGAGACGGCAGAAGAGGUUCCCGCCGGCCGCGGCCUGCCCUCAGGCAGUGGCUCCCAGAGCUCAGCGGUUCCCCGCACUCUUCUGCGCCCGACUCCCCAUGCCCCUACAUCCUGCGUCCCCUUCAGCCCCGGAGGUACCGUGGGGCCCGGGCCUGCCAGUCACCACCUCCUCCUCCGCCGGCGCCUCCGGGUCCUGAGCCCCUCGCCGGGUCCCUCUCCCUCCUGGGGCUCCUUCCCGUUCAGCCUCCGGGGCCCUACCCCGCUCUCCCCGACUCCCCCGGGCCCGGCCUGCGCCUUCCUGCGGUGCCGAGGAGCGGUGGCGCCCUGGGUGAAGAAGUCCCGCCGAGUCGAGGGGCGCAAUGGAGGAGCGCCGGAACAGGUCUCUCAUUCCGAGUAGCUACCGUUGCACUGUGCGAGUGUAAAAGUCACUUCCACCCGGUCUCAGUUGUUCCAACCUCAGUUGAAGUGAGGAGGUUGGACUGGAAGGUUUCUGGGGUCACUCCAGUGAGGCUGGGGUUCUAGUCCCAAUCUCACCGUGGCACCCCAAAGGCCCAGAAACCCGGACCAUCACCUCUCUUUCCCCGGGGCCAACGGAGCACUCCUGAAGGAGGGAGGGUUUGUCUCAGGCCUGACGAUUCCUGAUGAGGACUUGGGCAGAAACAGCCCCAGGCAAGCGGACCUUCAUUCCUGCACUUGAGCCGUCUCCUCCCUGCCCCCACCCCAGAAGGAGAAAACCCAGCGCUCGGAUUCCCAGCGGCGGGGCAGCCUGCAGGCCCUGUUCCCAGCCCACAGACCCAUGUCCCAGCCCAAACGGAGGCAGCCCUGGGCAGCGGGCGCGUGGAGCCCAAGGGCUCAGGGCCACUCAGCCCUUGUUACUGUCCCUCAUCUAGAAAAUGGAUGUAAUAACAAAACAGUUCACGGUAGGUGGCAAGAUCAGACACAUCGGAAACUGUGUAGGGCUGGCUCUUUCUGCGCUCACACUGUCCAGCAAUGGGCCCCAGGGACUUGGCCAGAGCGCAGUAGGGCAAUGAGAAAGGGGUGGCUUCUGGAAACCUACACGAGGCCCAGUCUGGGUGGAUUUGGGUGGCGGUCCCUUGCCUGCGAGGUGGGCAGGGCAACUUUCUACUAAAUUAUCUAACACUGCCAGUAAUGGCAGCCCUUCCCCAGGGAGCCAGGAGGCUGGGCCAGGACCACCCCCCUGUCGCCUGGCUUCAGGAAAGAAAGUGGGGAAGACAACAGAUUUGGGAGAAGGAAACUGAGGAGGUUUUCUCCCAGUCUCCCUCACGCUGCCUCAGUCAUGGCCAUUGCUAAGACUCACAGAGCCCAACUGUGCAAGGCCCUGCACUUCGCAUUCUUCUCAUCCAACCCCAUGACAACCCAAGGAGACACAUAAUAUCCCCAUUUUACACGUGGCAGAACUGAGGUUCUACAUGGCCAAGUGACUUGUUCAGUGCCAUACAGCUGGUAGUAGUGAAGCCAGGAUUCAAAUCCAGCUUUCCGACUCUAAAGUCUAAGGCACAGACCGAGUGUGGUGACUCAUGCCUGUAAUCACAGCACUUUGGAGGCUGAGGAGGGCAAAUCAUUUGAGCUCCCAAGUUCAGGACCAGCCUGGGCAACACGGCAAAACCCUGUCUCUACAAAAAAAAUAGAAAAAUUAGCAGAGCAUGGUGGCACGCACCUGUAAUCCCAGCUACUCGGGAGGCCGAGGGGGGAGGAUCGCUUGAGCCUGGGAGGUGGAGGUUGCACUGAGUAGAGACCACACCACUGCACUCCUGCCUGGGCAAUAGAGCCAGACCUUGCCUCAAAAAAAAAAAAAAUCUGAGGCACAAAAAAGCAACGCCAAAUCCAGGGGCCCUGCUUCAGGAAGCAUCAGGACUAACUAGAUUUUAUUGGUCAAUAGAUGCAAACAACUGAUUUAGAGCAAACUUCCCCUCCAGUAAAUCAAGCUCCAAAUCAAACAAAGCUAGAGGUCAAAGCGCCUCCACGCUGGUUGGUCCUGCUCCUAGGGCAGCACAGCCCCCCAUUUCCCCAGCCCCCCAUCUCUCCAGUUUCCCUCAAGAAGCCAGAGCCAUGCCCCAUAUGCACCUCUAGUGUAGGAUUAUCUGGAGCUUUAGGUUCAAAGGAAAGAGUGAGGUCUCCUGCUCCCUUCCUCCCUCCCACCCUGUUCCUCACCAACUCCUGGACGGUCCCUGCCAUGCGGUUGAGAACUGGGGCUAUGCUGGGAUGUGUCCGUGACACUGAUCAUGGUGGCCAGAGAGACACCGAGGGAGACUGCUCUGCCACUAGGGAGCUGACAUGAGGAAGGAGCCCCAGACUAAAAACAUAAGUCUCAGGAGAUUUGGGAGGUGGCCACAGGGAUAACCCCAACCCUCUAAUUAACGUGCCUGAGCCAGUCUCCUCCUACAUCUGGAACUUUAGGAGAGCUGCCCACAGCAGAAUGACUCGGCAAGGAGAAGGGCUUGUCGGGUCUAGCUGGGAGUGGAGGUGGGCCAGGCUGCCAGAGGGAGGCUUUGGGUGGUGCCCUUAAGAGUCUCCUUCAUGAGCUGUUUUGCACUGUGAGGUAAGCAAGAGGGCAAGGAAGGCCAUUGCUGGGGAAUGGGCCGCCUGGCUCACACCUGCAGGCAGCUGCUAAGCCAAGAGUGGGUGGGUGCUGCUGAGGGAUUGGGCUUCUAGUUUGUUUGUUUUUAUUUUUUUAUUUUUUUGAGAUGGAGUUUCGUGCUUGUUGCCCAGGCUGGAGUGCAGUGGUGCAAUCUCGGCUCACCGCAACCUCUGCCUCCCGGGUUCAAGCGAUUCUCCGGCCUCAGCCUCCCUAAUAGUUGGGAUUACAGGCACCCGCCACCACGCCCAGCUAAUUUUUUGUAUUUUUAGUAGAGACGGGGUUUCGUCCUGUUACCCAGGCUGGUUUUGAACUCCUGGCCUCAAGCAAUCCACUCAUCUCGGCCUCCCAAAGUGCCAGGAUUAUAGGCCUGAGCCACUGCGUACAGCUUGUUUUUAAAUAAAGCAGUUUUUAAAACUACUGUUGCAACCUUUUAGAGGGAGGUAAACUGAAUAUGGUGGAUUUUGAAUGACUAUUUUUUUGUUUUAUGAAAGAGGAUAAUAAUAGAAUAGAAAAUAUGAGAAUGUUUGGCCGGGUGCGGUGGCUCACACCUGUAAUCCCAGCAGUUUGGGAGGCCGAGGCAGGUGGAUCACCUGAGGUCAGGAGUUCGAGACCAGCCUGACCAACAUGACGAAACCCCGUCUCUACUAAAAAUACAAAAUUAGCCGGGCAUGAUGGUGCACGCCUGUAAUCUCAGCUACUUGGGAGGCUGAGACAGGACAAUCGCUUGAACCUGGGAGGCGGAGGUUGCAGGGAGCUGAGAUCACGCCACUGCAUUCCAGACUGGGCGACAGAGCAAGACUCUGUCUCUCUCAAAAAAAAAAAAAGAAAGAAAGAAAGAAAGAAAGAAAAUAUCACAAUGUAAUUUUUGAACUUUUUAUUGACGUACAGCAUACCUCCAGAGAAGUGCUGAAAGCUUGCAUUCUUACAGGUAAUACACCCAGCACCCAGAUCAAGAAAUGGAACAUAACCAGCACCCCAGAACCCUACCCUAAAAAUGUAAUUUAAAAAAAAAGAUUUUAAUAAAUAUCUUUUAGCGUGCCCUUUAUAUACAUGGUUUACUUUUAACUUUCUGAUCCCCUUGCCCUCCUCCUAGAAUAGAAACCUCCCAACAACCGGGGCUUCUAGACACAGGCAGCUAGAAUGAGGCCUGGCGCAAAGCAGGUGCCAAAACUACCUGCUGAAUGAAUGGGAGUGCAGAGUGCACCCCAGGUAGUGAAGGCAUUGUUUCUGUGGUGUACUUGCUUCCUCGUUGUAAAGUCCGUUUCUUUCUGUAGGUCACAGUCAAAACACGGAGAGCCAUGGCUACAACUUGAGCAAGUCAAACACGCUGUGAUUCAGGCCAGGGAGAUGAGCGUGGGUAAAGAACACUGUACGAACUAGCUCAGGGCUUCUGGAACUGUGUGCGGCUGAAUCACCGGGGCAUCUUGGUGAACUGUAAAUUCUGAUUCAGCAAACUGGGAGGAGGGCGCUGAGAUCCAGCAUUUCCAUCAAGCUUCCCAUGGACCACACUCUGACUAUCAGGGCCUUCGAUGCAGACAGUCUCGAUACAGCUGCACACAAGAAUCACACAGAAAGUUUUAAAAAUGCCAAUGCCAGGCCAGGCACAGUGGCUCACGCUUGUAAUCCCAGCACUUCGGGAGGCCGAGGCAGGCAGAUCACAAGGUCAGGAGUUCGAGACCAGCCUGGCCAACACAGUGAAACCCCGUCUCUACUAAAAAUACAAAAAUUAGCUGGGCGUGGUGGCAGGCACCUGUAAUCCCAGCUACUCGGGAGGCCAAGGCAAGAGAAUCACUUGAACCUGGGAGGCGGAGCUUGCAGUGAGCCAAGAUCGCUCCAUUGCACUCCAGCCUGGAUGACAGAGCGAGACUCCAUCUCAAAAAAAAAAAAAAAAGUGCUGAUGCCCAAGCACCACCCUAGAACACUUAAAUUGGAAUCUCUUGGAUGGGGGUUGGCAUCUUCAUUGUAUUGUUUUUGUUUUUUGGUAGAGACAGGGUCUCAAGAUGUUGCCCAGGCUGGUCUCGAACUCCUGGGCUCAAGCUAUUCUCCUGCCUCAGCCUUCUCAAAGUGCUGGGAUUACAGGCAUGAGCCCCCGCGCCCAGCCUGAGCAUCUUAGUUUUUUUGUUUGUUUGUCUCUGUCACCCAGGCUGGAGUACAGUGGUGCGAUCUUGGCUCACUGCAACCUCUGUCUCCCGGGUUCAAGCAAUUCUCCUGUCUCAGCCUACCGAGUAGCUGGGAUUACAGGCACGCACCAUCACAUCACACCCGGCUAAUUUUUAUAUUUUGAAUAGAGACAGGGUUUCACCAUGUUGGUCAGGCUGGUCUUGAUCUCCUGACCUCAGGUGAUCCACCCGCCCUGGCCUCCCAAAGUGCUGGGAUUACAGGUGUGAGCCACUGCUCCCAGCCAGCAUCUUAGUUUUUAAAAGCUCCUUAAGUGAUUCCAACCAGCUACCAGACAUGGGAGGUGCUUGGCUGAAGGCAAACUCUGGCGGGGAGGAGGAGCCAGUCUGUUCCCAAGCACACCCUCACUGCCUAGAAGGAGGCCUGGGCUAAGGCCCACGGAAGGGAGGGCUGGGAUCAGGACGAUCUGACUUGACAAAGGGCCACCAUUUCUGAGUCAGGAGGGGAUCACUUGCCUCCUGGCGGAGGUGAAGAGACGGAUUUCUGAAGGAAUUCUUAGGCAUGGUGUGUAUCUGCUAACCCCGGCCACAUCCUCCCAGGACCGAGAACAGACUGUGCCUUCACCCUAUUGCCCAAGUCAGAGGUCCCUGGAGCUGCCAAGGGGGCUGUGCUCACAUGCCCCCGAGCAAUUCAGUUUUCAAAACCUUACUAGGCCGUUGGGAGGAGGCACUGCCAGCUGCUCCCACACACCUGCCCCCUCUGCCCAAUCACAGCAAGAGCCAAAUGAGCCGAGAGAUGACAAACCCUGAGGUCAUCAUGGGCUCUUCUGAAACAGAGCCUCAUGGAGCCCUGCGCUCUGGUGCCCCCUGGUGGACACCUAGAGUUGUGGUUGGUAACCAACAAAUGGACCAGUGAGUUCAGUUACUCCUGAUUGGUUGGUGUUCGGGCACAGUCAUGCCAGAUGUGGCCCCAUACACAGAAUCAAGGAAUUUCUAGUGCGGCGCAGUGGCUCACAGUUGGAAUCCCAGCACUUGGGAGGCAGAAGCAGCAGGAUCAGUUGAGUGUAGGAGUUCAAGGCUGCAAUGAGCUAUGAUCUGCACUCCAGCCUGGGUGACAGAGGGACACCCUGUCUCUAAAAAAAUUAAUUUUUUUGA
rnacentral:lncRNA from 1 species